UACGGGGGGGGCAAGCGUUGUUGCGGAAUUACUGGGCGUUAAAGGGCUCGUAGGCGGCCAACUAAGUCGGAUGUGAAUCCCCAGGCUCAACUUGGGAACUGCAUCCGAUACUGGAUGGCUUGAAUCGGGAGAGGAUGCAGAAUUCCAGGUGUAGCGGUGAAAUGCGUAGAUAUCUGGAGGAAUACCGGUGGCGAAGGCGGCAGUCCUGGACCGGCAUUGACGCUGAUGAGCGAAAGCUAGGGGAGCAACGGG
rnacentral:rRNA from 1 species